rnacentral:rRNA from 1 species
ACCGCAUAAGCGCACAGUAUCGCAUGAUACAGUGUGAAAAGCCGAGACGGUAUAAGAUGGACCCGCGUCUGAUUAGCCAGUUGGCAGGGUAACGGCCUACCAAAGCAACGAUCAGUAGCCGGCCUGAGAGGGUGAACGGCCACAUUGGGACUGAGACACGGCCCAAACUCCUACGGGAGGCAGCAGUGGGGGAUAUUGCACAAUGGGGGAAACCCUGAUGCAGCGACGCCGCGUGAGUGAUGAAGUAUUUCGGUAUGUAAAACUCUAUCAGCAGGGAAGAAAAUGACGGUACCUGACUAAGAAGCUCCGGCUAAAUACGUGCCAGCAGCCGCGGUAAUACGUAUGGAGCAAGCGUUAUCCGGAUUUACUGGGUGUAAAGGGAGCGUAGACGGUGAGGCAAGUCUGAUGUGAAAGGUGUGGGCUCAACCCGCAAACUGCAUUGGAAACUGUCCCGCUUGAGUGUCGGAGAGGUAAGUGGAAUUCCUAGUGUAGCGGUGAAAUGCGUAGAUAUUAGGAGGAACACCAGCGGCGAAGGCGGCUUACUGGACGAUAACUGACGUUGAGGCUCGAAAGCGUGGGG